UGCAGCCAAUUAAGCCGACUGUGCUCUCUGUCCAUGGGGGCCCAGUGUGCCAUGGCUGCAAACAGUAGCCUCCUUGGUAGUGUAUGCAGCCUGUUGAUUGUAUGGGUUGCCCUAAGGGACCUUGGAGACAGCCCUUUCCAGUGGAUAUUGAGGUCUGACCUCAUGCUAUCUCCAAUCUAGGCUGCAUACAGGUAUGCGGGGUGCCUUUGGAAAGCCCCGGGGCACAGUAGCCAGGGUCCACACUGGCCAAGUCAUCAUGUCCAUCCGUACCAAGCUGCAGAGCAAGGAACAUGUGAUUGAGGCCCCUACGCAGGGCCAAGUUCAAGUUCCCUGGCCGCCAGAAGAUCCACAUCUCCAAGAAGUGGGGCUUUACUAAGUUUAAUGCGGAUGAAUCUGAAGACAUGGUGGCUGAAAAGCGGCUUAUCCCAGAUGGAUGUGGGGUCAAAUACAUCCCUAAUCGUGGCCCCUUGGACAAAUGGAGGGCUCUGCACUCAUGAGAACCUCAGCACUGCCCCCUCCCUAUUCAUGCCCACCAAUAAAACCUACUUCCUGUCAAAAAAA